rnacentral:rRNA from 1 species
CUUAAAUUGAAGAGUUUGAUCAUGGCUCAGAUUGAACGCUGGCGGCAGGCCUAACACAUGCAAGUCGAGCGGUAACAGGAAGAAAGCUUGCUUUCUUUGCUGACGAGCGGCGGACGGGUGAGUAAUGCCUGGGAAUAUGCCUUAACGUGGGGGAUAACUAUUGGAAACGAUAGCUAAUACCGCAUGAUGCCUACGGGCCAAAGAGGGGGACCUUCGGGCCUCUCGCGUUAAGAUUAGCCCAGGUGGGAUUAGCUAGUUGGUGAGGUAAUGGCUCACCAAGGCGACGAUCCCUAGCUGGUCUGAGAGGAUGAUCAGCCACACUGGAACUGAGACACGGUCCAGACUCCUACGGGAGGCAGCAGUGGGGAAUAUUGCACAAUGGGCGCAAGCCUGAUGCAGCCAUGCCGCGUGUAUGAAGAAGGCCUUCGGGUUGUAAAGUACUUUCAGUCGUGAGGAAGGCAUUUGCGUUAAUAGCGUAGGUGUUUGACGUUAGCGACAGAAGAAGCACCGGCUAACUCCGUGCCAGCAGCCGCGGUAAUACGGAGGGUGCGAGCGUUAAUCGGAAUUACUGGGCGUAAAGCGCAUGCAGGUGGUUCGUUAAGUCAGAUGUGAAAGCCCGGGGCUCAACCUCGGAAUUGCAUUUGAAACUGGCGGACUAGAGUGCUGUAGAGGGGGGUAGAAUUUCAGGUGUAG